rnacentral:rRNA from 1 species
UACAGAGGUCCCAAGCGUUUGUUCGGAGUUACUGGGCGUAAAGGGUGCGUAGGCGGCUCUGUAAGUAUGGUGUGAAAUCUCCCGGCUUAACUGGGAGGGUGCGCUAUAGACUGCGGGGCUCGAGUGUGGGAGAGGAAAGUGGAAUUCCUGGUGUAGCGGUGAAAUGCGUAGAUAUCAGGAGGAACACCGGUGGUGUAAACGGCUUUCUGGACCAUAACUGACGCUGAGGCACGAAAGCGUGGGUAGCAAACAGG